CGGGAGUCAGACUGCACGAGAUAAGUUGGGCAGUCAAAAGGGAAAGAGCCCAGACCUGCUGCUAAGGUCCCAAAGUACGUGUUAAGUGGAAAAGGAUGUGGGAUUUCGAAGACAACUAGGAUGUUGGCUCAGAAGCAGCCAUACAUUCAAAGAGUGCGUAACAGCUCACUAGUCGAGAGUUCCUGCGCCGAAAAUGUCCGGGGCUGAAACACGACACCGAAGCCGUGGACUCGCAAUGCGAGUGGUAGAGGAGCAUUCUUAAAACCGACGAAGCUGUACCGGAAGGAGCAGUGGAGGGAUAAGAAGAGAGAAUGCCGGAAUGAGUAGCGAGAGAAAGGUGGGAAUCCUUUCGGCCGAAUAUCUAAGGUUUCCAGAGUAAAGCUGAUCUGCUCUGGGUAAGUCGGGGCCUAAGCACAGGUCGCAAGACGUAAGCGAUGGAUAACAGGUUUAGAUUCCUGUACCACGCAUUAUCAGAACUGUAGGGACGCAUGUGGAAAGCACGGGCCGGGAAUGGAAAGACCGGUACAAGCGGGGUAGGUGUACAAUAGGCAAAUCCGUUGUAUAAUCCGAAGACGUGAUGUGGAGCGAAAUAAAGUAGUGAAGCGUGUGAGCCAUGUGCCGAGAAAAGCUGCUAUUGUGUAAUGCGUGCCCGUACCGUAAACCGACACAGGUGGAUGAGGAGAGAAUCCUAAGGCCGACGGAAGAAGCAUUGUUAAGGAAUUCGGCAAAAUGACCCCGUAACUUCGGGAGAAGGGGUGCCUGCGAGAGCAGGCCGCAGAGAAUAGGCUCAAGCAACUGUUUAGCAAAAACACAGGUCUAUGCGAAACCGAAAGGUGAAGUAUAUGGGCUGACGCCUGCCCGGUGCUGGAAGGUUAAGAGGAGAGGUUAGCGCAAGCGAAGCUUUGAAUUUAAGCCCCAGUAAACGGCGGCCGUAACUAUAACGGUCCUAAGGUAGCGAAAUUCCUUGUCGGGUAAGUUCCGACCCGCACGAAAGGCGUAAUGAUUUGAGCGCUGUCUCGACAAUGCAUCCGGUGAAAUUGAAGUACCAGUGAAGAUGCUGGUUACCCGCGCCAGGACGGAAAGACCCCAUGGAGCUUUACUCCAGUUUGAUACUGGGAUUCGGUACUGCAUGUACAGGAUAGGUGGGAGACGAAGAAGGAUGGACGCCAGUCUGUCCGGAGUCGCUGUUGGGAUACCACCCCUGUAGUACUGGGUUUCUAACCAGUUGCCAUGAACUGGCAAUGGGACAAUGUCAGGCGGGGAGUUUGACUGGGGCGGUCGCCUCCGAAAGGGUAUCGGAGGCGCUCAAAGGU
rnacentral:rRNA from 1 species